UACGGAGGGUGCAAGCGUUAUCCGGAUUUAUUGGGUUUAAAGGGUCCGUAGGCGGAUCUGUAAGUCAGUGGUGAAAUCUUACAGCUUAACUGUGAAACUGCCAUUGAUACUGCAGGUCUUGAGUAAAGUAGAAGUGGCUGGAAUAAGUAGUGUAGCGGUGAAAUGCAUAGAUAUUACUUAGAACACCAAUUGCGAAGGCAGGUCACUAUGUUUUAACUGACGCUGAUGGACGAAAGCGUGGGGAGCGAACAGG
rnacentral:rRNA from 1 species